rnacentral:rRNA from 1 species
GUAGUCCACGCCCUAAACGAUGUCAACUAGGUGUUGGGUGGGUAAAACCAUUUAGUACCGGAGCUAACGCGUGAAGUUGACCGCCUGGGGAGUACGGCCGCAAGGUUAAAACUCAAAGGAAUUGACGGGGACCCGCACAAGCGGUGGAUGAUGUGGAUUAAUUCGAUGCAACGCGAAAAACCUUACCUACCCUUGACAUGUCCAGAAGCCCUUAGAGAUUUGGGUGUGCCCGAAAGGGAACUGGAACACAGGUGCUGCAUGGCUGUCGUCAGCUCGUGUCGUGAGAUGUUGGGUUAAGUCCCGCAACGAGCGCAACCCUUGUCGUUAAUUGCCAUCAUUCAGUUGGGCACUUUAACGAGACUGCCGGUGACAAACCGGA